ACUUACACCCGAACCGCGACUCGCGCCUCCACAGCUCUCAGGCGCGCGCCCGCUCACUCUCUCGCGCGCGCUGGCGCCCCCUCCCCGCCACGUGACCGGCGGCCCGGCAAGACCCGAAAGCUGUGCCCCGCUCUGCAACGCCGACUGCGUUGCCGCACUGCUGUGAGGGACUCGCCCUUUCGGCCAGCCGUCGGAGGACCUCGGGGUGACCUCCUCGCAUCUGGGACACCGACGUCGAUCUCGCCCUCAGUCUCUGCCAGAGAAAAGGGGGAAACCUCUAAGGACGGAUGGGGCGUGCCCCCCGGGGCCUGACUCAGAGCCUGGUCUGUAGCAUUUGGUGGAUGGUGGGUGUAAAGGCAGAAGUCGGGAGAGAAGAGCACGUCUGACGGUGGCGACACUGGUCCCAAGGGAGGGUCUGUGUGCCGGAAAUAUGAAGAAAUGAGACUGCAGAGAGGCCAACUUUUUAUGGACGCUGAGGAUUUGGGACAAAAUAUAAUUAUAGCUCACAGUUCUGAAGGGCCGAUUGUAUUCUUAGCAGUUCACCUGAACUAUCCUCACAACCCUAUGGUGUUGUUGAAGUGAUCAAAUUAAAUAAUCAUGGAGUGCU